UACGUAGGGUGCGAGCGUUAAUCGGAAUUACUGGGCGUAAAGCGUGCGCAGGCGGUCUGUUAAGACAGAUGUGAAAUCCCCCGGGCUUAACCUGGGAACUGCAUUGGUGACUGCAUCGCUCGAGUAUGGCAGAGGGGGGUAGAAUUCCACGUGUAGCAGUGAAAUGCGUAGAGAUGUGGAGGAAUACCGAUGGCGAAGGCAGCCCCCUGGGUCAAUACUGACGCUCAUGCACGAAAGCGUGGGGAGCAAACAGG
rnacentral:rRNA from 1 species